CCCAGAGGUGGGGAAAGCCCGCCCGAGGCGCCGGUGCUGACGGUGGCGGGGCUGCCGGGCACGCUGUGGAACUGCCUCCCGCUAGAGCUGCGGGCUGGCGACGGUCCCGUGGGGGCGGGAAGCGGCUCAGGGUGCCCUCGCCGGCCUGCGGCGGCGCGUCUGGGAGCGCAGGCCACUCGUGCGCGGGUCACUCGGGGCUGUGCCUCGCGCGACUGUGUGUGCAGGAAACAAGGAGGAAAUACCCUAAAAUGGAAUGAAGCGCCAUGUUGAGGGCCGCGGAUGUCGCGAGUGCUGUGGGAAUGUGGGCUGAGGUGGAGAGUUAUGGUGGAGGAAGCUAGUCCUGUCUGAUGGAGGAAACAGGGCAGAGGCGUGGAGGGAGACGCACAGUGCUGGUGUGAGGAGCCGCGAGCAGGCCAGGCCUGUAAAGCAGCGUGAUGGGAACCAGGAUAGAGAAGGCAAGUCGGGGUCCUGUGGUCGCUGAAGAAUUUGAAUGAAAUCAGUAAACAGGUGAGAGGGAUCCAUCGCAAGAGCAUGGGAUGAAACGAGCAGUAGUCCACGGUGAUUCCUCUGCAGCGAUACUGCAUAGUGGAUGGAUUAGUUUGUGGUUCCUGGGAUCUUCUGUGUAUUCUGUUGAAGCUCAAUAAUCACAUUACUGCGGACCUCCAAAAUUUUACAAAGGACUGCACACUUCCUCAGGUCCUGGGUCCCGCGCCAUCAUCUCUUCGAAUGACCUCCCUUCUAUUCCUGUUAAUAAAGGAGCAUCAGCUAAGUGAAUAUGGUGAUUUGCAUACACUUACAUUGAUUCAGAAAUUGUGUUUAAUUCCACACAAGAAAAAGAAUGUGGAUCUUUUUCACUGGGAAAAAAAGUCGCCAUGUAUCAUCUUAAUCAUGUUUUCCUGGGAUAUAAUCUAUACGUGACGCCCAUUUAAGCCUUCAUUGCAUCUAUGCACGUGGUUUGCUUUCCUCUUGUGUGAAAUAGUGUUGGACCACACGGGUUUGGGCCACAGCCCAGGAAGACACAAUCCUGAACGUCAUAAUCCCAAAUGUUGAAGUCCCAUAAGAUCUAAAUCUGUACAGUCUAAAAUCCUGAAAAUUACAAUCCUAAAAAAACAAAAUUCUCAAAAUACAAUUCUGGAAAAAAAUUAUUAACACAUUCUUUAAGAAGCAUUUAUUGGGCAGCACAUGGUGGCUCAUGCCUUUAAUCCCAGCACCUUUGGAGGCCGAGGCGGGUGGAUCACAAAGUCAGGAGAUGGAGACCAUCCUGGCUAACACGGUGAAACCCCAUCUUUACUAAAAAUACAAAAAAUUAGCCAGGCAUCAUGACGGGUGCCAGUAGUCCCAGCUACUCGGGAGGCUGAGGCAGGAGAAUCGCUUGGACCCAGGAGGUGGAGGUUACAGUGAGCCGCAAUCGCACCACUGCACUCCAGCCUGGGCGACAGAGUGAGACUCUGUCUAACAACAAAAACAAAAAACAUUUAUUUAUAUUUUUAAGAUGGAAUUUAUUUGAGAAACUUAUAAAAACACAACAGAACCCUUCCUAGGCCACUUUACACAAUCAAUAGGCAAUAAUAACAUGCAUAUAUUUGCAAGCGUAAAACUCAGGUAUGCUAACGAUAGUCUCACGGGUAUAAUGGUAAUGAGCAGAUGAGUUGUAUUUGUAAAGAAAUGGGUCAAAAAGCAAAAUGUAUAAAAGCGUGGUUGGUAACUGGGUGAACUCAGCUUUAUAACUUAGGUCAUCUGGAAUACUGUGACAGACAACCUAAGUCUUUUGACCAGAUUCAUCAAAAGCUGGGAUGGGUCACCAUGUAAUAUUCAGUCAAAGAGCUGAGAUCCUAAGGAAUUUUCUCUUUCCCAAAUGCAAAUGUGCAAAAGGAUAUCUUCUCAUUUAUUGAGGAAAUUUUAAUGUUUUUAUGUACAUGUACAAUGCUUACACACAAAGUCAGUGUUGUGAUAAUACACUGUUGUGGAGUCAAAUUUGCAAAAAAAAAAAAAAAAUGCAUAAAACAAAUUAGAACUCUCUAAAAGUCUUUGCAAAAUUUAUACCUCCAGUAUUGGAAAUGAUACUAAGAUGAAAUACAUAGCAUAGCAAGUUGUAAAAAAUAAUGCUGACAAUUUAAAAUAGUGGAAAAAAUGGAAAAAGAAACACUAAAAAGAAAAUUGACAUAUAAAAAGUAUAUUACAUGGAUAGAUUAUGAGCAAUUGCAGAGUUCAUCAUAGCUCGCUGACUUUCAUGAUCAUUAACUAUAUUUUGAAGUCUUGCAUCACGAUGAAUUGUUGCCUUUUUUGUUUUUAGGAUUUGACUCUCCUCAUAAAAUACAUUCACAUUCAUUUUCUACGUGGCACUGCUCUUUUUGAAAUUCUUCUGUAAUUUGAUACACACUGACAUGAGCAUUUCCUGUUACAUUUUCCAAUCUUCUAUGCCUUUCUUGUCUAUUGUUUUGAGUAUGUGGAAAUCCAUUUUGCAGGCCCUCAUAUACAGGCCACUCAUUUGGCAGAAACAAUACUCUUGAUUGAACAGCAACACCAUUGCCUAAAUGACUCUUAUCCUACCUUGCACAUCAUUAUUUUCAAACCAGUAUGUAAUAUUUCUGGCUUCUUCAGGCAAUUGUGGUUUUAAUUUAUCAAAAGCUCCUGGAAUUUUAUCAGGUGGAAGGAAUGCCAAUACAGACAAAUGACACAUUUUUAAACUAAAAUUUUCAUCAUUGCCAUAUGGCCUGGCCAAUCCACUCACCUGAAUUUUCUGGCAAAUGAGCUGGGCUGAAUGGAAGAUAUAAAUUUUACUGGUAACAACUUGCAAUUCACUUUUAGAAGCUUUGAUCACACCUAAUUAAAAACUUGUCAUUAUAAUUUGGGGAUCCAAUUGAAAUCUAUUUUCUUCUGCAAAGCCAUCCAAAUCUUCAAAUAAGCUUUUAUAAAGUACUUCACUUUUUCCAGUUAUUAAACCAUAAACGUGCAGUUUAAAUUACAGAAUUUUGUAAUCCAAUGGGGGCAUAAACUGCAUAAAGUCGAUUUAAAAAACCCACUGGGGACAGUUUUGAAAGUGCCGUUCAUCAGCCAAAGUGAAACAUGCACCAGUUUUGUUAUGUUAAACAAAUAUGUUUAUCUUUUUUGACAGUCAAAUCCCUAAUCAAGAAUAGUUCAUGAUUUAAUAUAUCUUGUAGCACUGGAGGAAGCUCUGUGCCAGAAGGUGUCUGGCUCAGAAGGCCACUGAAUUUGUUGAACUAUUUUUAUUAUCUGACAAAAGGCAUUUUGUGAAGGCAAGCAUGGUGCUACGUGUAGAGGUGCUUGGUACAUGAUUACAUAAUUUGGCAGACAAGAUUUUGUUCAUUUUUAACUUUCAUUUUAACUUCUUCUGUGAUAUUCAAGACAUUCAAAACAGUGACAGCAGAUCUUCCCCACCUAGUCUGCUCAGACCCACACACUGAUCUCUUCUGAGAAAACCAUCACAGUCAUACCCAAAAUAAUGCUUUCCCAGCUUUCCAGGGAUUCCUUAAUCCAGUCAAGUUGACACCUGAAAUUAAGUCUGCAAGUCCACCCCUUGUAGAUGUGGCACCCAUAUGGACCUCCUUAAACCAUACAUAAUUUCCAAAUAAAAAGAAAACAAAGCAACAGUUGUACCUAACAUGAUGCAACUAACGUGGUACAACUCUCCUGUGAUUGUGAUUUUCUGGAUUUUAGAUGUUAAGAAUUUAGACUUUAGGACUGGGCAUGGUGGCUCAUGCCUGUAUUCCCAGCACUUUGGGAGGCCAAAUCAGGAGGAUCACUUGAGCCCAGGAGUUUGAAAUCAGCCGGGGCAAUAAAGUGAGACCCCAUGAUAUGGUUUGGCUGUGUCUCCAACCAAAUCUCAUCUUGAAUUGUAGUUCUCAUAAUCCUCACAUAUCAUGAUGGGGACCCAGGGAGAGGUAAUUGAAUCAUGGAGGCAGUUACCCCCAUGCUCUUCUCAUGAUAGUGAGUGAGUUCUCACAAGAUCUGAUGGUUUUAUAAGGAGCUUUUCCCCCUUUGCUUGCGCUUCUCCUUCCUGCCACCUCGUGAAGAAGGUGACUUGCUUCCCCUUCACAUUCUACCAUGCUUGAAAGUUUCCUGAGGCCUCCCCAGCUAUGAUGAACUGUGAGUCAAUUAAACCUCUUUCCUUUAUAAAUUACCCAAGCUUGGUUAUGUCUUUAUUAGCAGCAUGAGAAUGGACUGAUACAGUAAAUUGGUACUGAGGUAGUGGGGCGUUGCUAUAAGGAUAUCUAAAAAUGUGGAAGUGAAUUUGGAACUGGGUAACAGGCAGAGGUUGAACAGUUUGCAGGGUUCGGAAGAAGACAGAAAAAUGUGAGGAAGUUUGGAACUUCCUAGAGACUUGCAGAAUGGUUUUGAGGAAAAUGCUGAUAGUGACAUGGACAAUGAAGUCCAGGCUGAGGUGGUCUCAUAUGGAGAUGAAGAACUCGUUGGGAACUGGAGUAAAGGUGACUCUUGCUAUGCAAAGAGACUGAUGGCAUUUUGCCCCUGCCCUAGAAAUCUGUGGAACUUUAAACUUGAGAGACAUAGUUUAGGGUAUCUGGCAGAAGAAAUUCCUAAGUAGCAAAGUGUUCAAGAGGAAGCAAAGCAUAAAAGUUUUAAAAAUUUUGCAGCUUGAUGAUGAGAUAGAAAAGGAAAACCCAUUUUCUGGAGAGAAAUUCAAGCCAGCUGCAGAAAUUUGCAUAAGUAAAGAGGAGCUGAAUAUUAAUCACCAAGACAAUGGGAAAAUGUCUUCAGGGCAUGUCAGAGACCUUCAAGGCAACUCAAACCAUCACAGGCCAGGAGGCCUAGGAGGAAAAAAUGGUUUCAUGGGCCCAGUGCAGGGACUUGCUGCUCUGUGCAGUCUCAGGACUUGGUUCCCUGUGUCCCAAUCAUGGCUAAAGGGCCAAUGUACAGCUCAGGCCAUGGCUUCAGAGGGUAAAGGCCCCAAGCCUUGGCAGCUUACAUGAGGCGUCGGGCCUGCGGGUGCACAGAAGUCAAGAAUUGAGGUUUGGGAAUCUACGCCUAAAUUUCAGAGGAUGCAUGGAAACGCGUGGGUGUUCAGGCACAAAUUUGUGACAGGGACGGAGCCCUCAUGGGGAACCUCUGCUAGGGCAGUGACUGCAGAAGGGAAAUGCGGGGUCAGAGCCCCCACACAGUCCCCACUGGGGCACUGCCUAAUGGAGCUGAGAGAAGAGGGCCACCAUCCUCCAGACUCCAGAAUGGUGGACACACUGACAGCUUGCACCGUAUUGUCUGGAAAAGCCACAGACACUCAGCACCAGCCUGUGAAAGCAGCCAGGAGGAGGGCUGUACCCUGCAAAUCAACAGGGGUGGAGCUGCCCAAGGCCAUGAGAGCCCACCUCUUGCUUCAGUGUGACCUGGAUGUGAGACACGAAGUCAAAGGAAAUCAUUACAGAGCUUCAAGAUUUGACUGACCCAUUGAAUUUUGGACUUGCAUGGGGCCUGCAAUCCCUUCAUUUUGGCCAAUUUCUCCCAUUUGGAACAGGUGUAUUUACCCAAUGCCUAUAUCUUCAUUGAAUCUAUGAAGUAACUAACUUGAUUUUGAUUUUACAGGCUCAUAGGAAGAAGGGCCUUGCCUUGUCUAAGAUAAGACUUUGGACUUGGACAUUUGGGUUAAUGCUGGAAUGAGCUAAGACUUUGGGGGACUGUUAGAAAGGCAUGAUCAUGUUUUAAAAUGUAAGGACAUGAGAUUUGGAAGGGGCUGGGGGCAGAAUGAUAUGGUUUGGCUGUGUCCCCACCCAAAUCUCACCUUGAAUUGUAGUUUCCACAAUCCCUACAUGUUGUGGGAGUAACCCAGUUGGAGGUAAUUGAAUCAUGGGGGUGGUUACCCCAUGCUGGUCUCAUGACAGUGAGUGAUACCUGAAGGUUUUAUAAGGGGCUUUUCCCCUUUCGCUCAGCACCUCCUGCUGCCUUGUGAAGAAGGUGCCUUGAUUCUUGUUUGCAUUCACCAUGAUUCUAAGUUUUCUGAAGCCUUCCCAGCCAUGCUGAACUGUGAGUCAAUUAAACCUCUUUCUUUUAUAAAUUACCCAGGCUCGUGUAUGUCUUUAUUGGGAGCAUGAGAAUUAACCAAUUCACUCUGUCUCUAUUAAAAAAAAAAGAAUUUAGACCUUAGGAAUUUUGAUCUUUCAGGAUUUCAACAUUCAGGGUUAUGGUGUUUGUCACUGGGUCUUCUGGGAUUAUGAUCCUCACCUAGAUUAACAGCCUCACAGCUCUCUUCAAACUAUGACCCUAUUCUCCCACUACCUCCUGAGUUCAGCCUCUUUCUUCAACUUGGCUAAGCCUGCCUUUCUUUUCCUAUCUGUCUGCUUUCUUCCCUCUGAUUGAUCCAAAGUAAAAUUUGACUUUUUUUUCAUUCCAACAACUCCAUCUUCUAUCACAUAUCUCCUUUCAUGAAGUUGGCCCCGAU
rnacentral:lncRNA from 10 species